GGUACAGAGGCUAUCAUGAUGAAGAACUCCAAAUGCCCAGGGUCUACCGCCAACAUUGUUGAAGACCUCAAAAUAAUUGGCUGCGGAUGGCAUGCUACUAGAGGUUUCUUAGCCUAACUUACUUAAAGAGGGUGCAAUAGAGAAGAAUUGGAGAGCGAAUAUGAGUUAUAUAAGUAGUGUGGAUGUUAAUGAUGUACCUAGUUUUAUUGUAUGAAUAAAUAUUUUUAUUUGUA